UCUAAUAGGGCGCUCCGCGUUAGAAGAUCGUAAAAGCAGAAAUCAGCUGUUCCCCGGCCUCAGCAUACUCCCUGGGCGAAAAGGGAUAUGCAGAGCUGCGGGGGAGUGGUAGAUCUCCCCAGGGGCUUUGCUCUGUAGAGCGAAAUUCCUGGGUUUGAGAUCCCGCUGAGCCCCGCUGUCCUCUGACUUCAAACGGGCUCCUGCUUUGUCAGGAAAAGGGAGUAAGGGACCACUUCUGCUCAAACGGUCUUUUCAAAUGGACUGACUUCUUAAGCAGACGGGGAAAAUCACGAGCGUUCGAUCUUUGAAGUAGAAACAGCACGCAAGUAUCUUGACUUUUCCCCCUUUGAAAUUGGAAACCCUUCUUUGUCUCUGAUUAAUUGACUCUUUAAAAUGGCGUCUGAAAGUAGCUGAACUGAAUAACCGUAGAACAAAUGUCUAAGGGGCUGCCCCAAAGAAGAGGGGGGUCAACCUAUUCAACACCUGAAGGCAGGAAAGAAGCAACGGAUGGAAACUAAUCAAGGAGAGAAGCAACCUAGAACCAAGGAGGAAUUUCCUGACAGCUAGAACAAUUAAUCAGUGGAACAACUUGCCUCCAGAUGUUGCGGGUACUCCAUCACUGGAAAUUUUUAAGAAGAUGUUGGACAACUAUUUAUUCAGAAUGGUAUAGGGUCUCCUGCUUGAGCAGGGGGUUAGACUAGAAGACCUCCAAGGUCCCUUCCCACUCUGUUAUUCGGUUAAAUGUGGUUUCUCAAACCGAACUUUUGAGACACCUGUAAAAAACUAAACACUAUUCAUGAUAGCACUGUUCCUUGCUGUAGACCUAUAACCUCUCCUAAGAAAGAGCAAAUAUUUCACUAUGUAUCUCCACAAAUAACCUUCUUAAGCAGGGUUAAAGUUGAACAAAUAAAGGUAAAAUGUGAAGCAGCUGGAGUGCGUAAGGAGGAACGCUAAGCCUGAAAGAAACUUAAGACACAACAGUGUCAUAAUGGGGGGAAAAGGAAUGGGAAUUGCUUGUUAAACUCAUGCACUCAGAUAAGACACCGAAAAAGGGAAAUCCAUGCGGGAUUUUGGAGAUCUGGGGAUUACAUCUUACGGGAAAAGAACUCGUCUUGAACGCUUCUAUGACAUCCAGACGCAGAGCUGUGUUUAAAGAUGGGAAGUAAAAUACUAGCAACCUAUCCAGUGUUUCUCAACCUUGUAACUUUAAGAUGAGUGGACUUCGCCUCUCAGAAUGCAGACCUGAUUGUUUAAUGAAGGCAUUAUUCAUCCCACCCGCAAGAAUUAAUCCCAUUAAUAAGAUUGAUUGAACUAAGCGGGCAAGCAUUUAUUUUUCCAAAAUGACAGGUCACAUAUUAGGUGAAGGUAAAGGUUCUCCUCGCACAUGUGUGCUAGUCGUUCCCGACUCUAGGGGGCAGUGCUCAUCUCCGUUUCAAAGCCGAAGAGCCAGCGCUGUCCGAAGACGUCUCCGUGGUCAUGUGGCCGGCAUGACUUAACGCCAAAGGCGCACAGAACGCUGUUACCUUCCCACCAAAGCGCCGUUGUAACUUCGGUCACUAAAUGAAUAGCUGUAAGUCGAGAACUACCUGCGUUCCUGCAGGAUAGAUCGGCUAUUGAGAUGUCUUACCUCCUCCGGUCUGCCUCCCCACCACGAUGUCCCUUUCCGCGACGCCGGGAUAUCCGGUAACAAGGUAAGACCUUUGCAACGAAGGCCAACAGGCGGAAGGAUGAGCUAUGGCCCGCAACUCCCCCCACCCUCGGAUUUACCUGCUCUUCGUGCAGAAUGACCUGGCCUUGGAGGGGAUUGCCAAGGGGGGCCAGUCGCAC